rnacentral:lncRNA from 1 species
AAGAUCUAACCAAAAAUAUUAUAUACAACAACAACAACAACAAAAGAUCACGGUUAGAGGAGAGCAAUAGAUCUAACCUCAUUUAUAUACAACAAGAACAACUACAAAAGAUCUUCUGAGAGAUGAUGAAGAAAAAUCUUACAUGCACAAGCAGGCAUGGGAGGAGCUUUGAGUUGGCAAGCAUCGGGAAGAGUACCGGCUUUAGUGAGGUUCAGAUUGAUUCCCGCGGCGGCACUGCUCUUCAACCCUUCGCACAGACAUUCAGCUUUCGUGUCGAGCACGGUUUUGAUAACAGAGCAACACGCGGUCUCGGGCUUCUCCACUUGACUACCGAUCGUCACGAAAGGCAAACACUUCGUCAAGGUCAUUAUCAUGGCGGAGCAUUCGACGGACUGUGCAGUGUUUCCGUUAACAGAAAGAGAGGAAACAAAGAGGAAGAGGAGGAGGAGAGGAAGCGCGGCGGAGAAGAGGGCCAUUGUUUGAUUAUCUGUUGUUGUUGUUUUAACUCGUCUGAUCACUUAGAGAGAAAUGUGUAAGAGAAUGAGAAGAAGGGUAGUGUUAUUUAUAUAGGUCUGAUCUUAGGUCAUGUUAAAACGGUGUAGUUUUCGCGUACGCGUUUAGUGGAUUAUUAUGGGAAUCUCAAUGAAAUAACUUGACCAUUUUAAUUUGAUUUGAUCCUUUAAGUUAAUCAACAUUUGUCAUUAAAGAGUUUUAUUUUGAAUAAUUGAUUUAUUACCUAAAAUUGCUUUAUUGGAAGAAUAUUGAAGUAGAAACAAAGAGAAAGUCCAAGUAAAAUAUAUUCUUCACACGCUUUCCUUAAAUUGUAGUAUUUCGUUUUCAAACUUUUUUGCUAUCAUACCAUAUUCGUCGUGUAUUCGUGUCAGUGCUUGCUGUAUUCCAAUCUUUUUAUUUUGUAACUAUCUUGGGUUUGAGUGUAUAAAUAUUAAUGUUUGACUACAGUAAACAACUCUUUUAAAAAUAUAUACAUAGCUGUAAGUUUAGGCAAAACAACUCAAGAAUAUCAUCAUUUAUGUUUUAUUCUAUUUAGUAAUUAGCAUAAAUACAACAAAUCCUAAAGAAAAAAAUAUCUAAGAAUUAAUUUAAGUUUGAGCUCUUUUUAGGGAUCCAUUUAGUGGUCUAGCAGCAGGAACUGGAGCUGUUACAAAAAAAAAAACAUAGUAGACGAUAGUCAAAACACAUAGUCAAAGUUGAUACAUCAACAUGCAUUAACACCAUUUUUAUCGUAAUGUCUAUUGACUUUACAGUUCCCCUACUUUAUUGUUAUAAUAAAGUGAAACAAAACAUGCUUCAAGCAAGAGAAGUCCAAAGAUCCAAAGCGUGAAAAAAUCAGAAAUUUCACAAACCAUGAAAAUAAAUAACAAUGGUAAAAAAAAAAAAGAAAUUUGAUUAUUAAUCCAAAAGUAAAUAUUUUCAGAUGGCAUGCAAAAUAAAAUUAAAAAAGACCAAAGAAACUAAAGAUUGAUUUACGAUGAAAUCAACAAAGAGAAAGAGAAUAUACCUGGCGCACUAGCAGGGGGUUUAGCAAACACUGCAACACAACAACAACAACAACAACAAAGAUCUCUGUUAGAGAAGAGCACAAGAUCUAACCAAAAAUAUUAUAUACAACAACAACAACAACAAAAGAUCACGGUUAGAGGAGAGCAAUAGAUCUAACCUCAUUUAUAUACAACAAGAACAACUACAAAAGAUCUUCUGAGAGAUGAUGAAGAAAAAUCUUACAUGCACAAGCAGGCAUGGGAGGAGCUUUGAGUUGGCAAGCAUCGGGAAGAGUACCGGCUUUAGUGAGGUUCAGAUUGAUUCCCGCGGCGGCACUGCUCUUCAACCCUUCGCACAGACAUUCAGCUUUCGUGUCGAGCACGGUUUUGAUAACAGAGCAACACGCGGUCUCGGGCUUCUCCACUUGACUACCGAUCGUCACGAAAGGCAAACACUUCGUCAAG